GAAGACAAAUAUGGGACAACUACUUAGCCUGUCACAGUAGAGCUAGGCUAACAUUAUCUUUUGGGGCUAAAUGAAAUUGUCAAAGAUGUUUUUGCUGAUGUGUGGUGCUGCUAGCUAAACUAAAUGUAC